rnacentral:rRNA from 1 species
AUGGCUCAGAACGAACGCUGGCGGCAUGGAUUAGGCAUGCAAGUCGAACGGGAGCAGCAAUGCUCCAGUGGCGCAAGGGUGAGGAACACGUGAACAACCUGCCUUCGAGUUGGGGAUAGCUUCUGGAAACGGGAGGAUAAUACCGAAUAACAUCACCGGAUCGCAUGAUCUGGUGAUCAAAGCAGCAAUGCGCUUGAAGAGGGGUUCGCGUCCCAUUAGCUAGUUGGUGAGGUAACGGCCCACCAAGGCGAUGAUGGGUAGCUGGUCUGAGAGGACGACCAGCCACAUUGGGACUGAGAUACUGCCCAGACUCCUACGGGAGGCUGCAGUCGAGAAUUUUGGGCAAUGGACGAAAGUCUGACCCAGCCAAUGCCGCGUGCGGGAUGAAGGUCUUCGGAUUGUAAACCGCUGUCAAGAGGGACGAAACAUGACGGUACCUCUGGAGGAAGCCACGGCUAACUACGUGCCAGCCGCUGC